rnacentral:rRNA from 1 species
UGGGGAAUUUUGGAUAAUGGGCGCAAGCCUGAUCCAGCCAUGCCGCGUGUCUGAAGAAGGCCUUCGGGUUGUAAAGGACUUUUGUCAGGGAAGAAAAGGAUAGGGUUAAUACCCCUGUCUGAUGACGGUACCUGAAGAAUAAGCACCGGCUAACUACGUGCCAGCAGCCGCGGUAAUACGUAGGGUGCGAGCGUUAAUCGGAAUUACUGGGCGUAAAGCGGGCGCAGACGGUUACUUAAGCAGGAUGUGAAAUCCCCGGGCUCAACCUGGGAACUGCGUUCUGAACUGGGUGACUAGAGUGUGUCAGAGGGAGGUAGAAUUCCACGUGUAGCAGUGAAAUGCGUAGAGAUGUGGAGGAAUACCGAUGGCGAAGGCAGCCUCCUGGGAUAACACUGACGUUCAUGCCCGAAAGCGUGGGUAGCAAACAGGAUUAGAUACCCUGGUAGUCCACGCCCUAAACGAUGUCGAUUAGCUGUUGGGCAGCUUGACUGCUUAGUAGCGAAGCUAACGCGUGAAAUCGACCGCCUGGGGAGUACGGUCGCAAGAUUA